CCCCUGUGCCAGCGCUCUUGGCUCCACCUCCCUACUCCCCUUGUCUCCCUCCCCGUAGUUUCCACCUGUUCUCUUUCACCUCUCCUCCCCUCAACUCUCACCGCUUCCCUGUCCCACUUUCCUCGCUUUAACUACAAGUCAGGUCUUGGAGCUGUGACUCAAGCUCUCAGUAAACACUUCAAGUAUGUCCAAAAGGAAGACCUCUUCAAAUUAUUCAUCAUGAGGAUGGGCAGCUAUAGUGAUGGACCCCCAAAAUUUCAAUGAAUAAGCAUAAAAUUGGAAAAGACUCUGAUGUUGGGAAAGAUUGAGGGCAGGAGGAGAAGGCAUCAUUGACUUAAUGGACAUGAGUUUAAGCAAACUCCAGGAGAUGAUGAAGAACAGGGAAACUUGGAGUGCUGCAGCCCAUGGCAUCACAGAGUCAGACACAAAUGAGUGGCUGAACAACAACAAAGCAUGAAAUGACUUUGAAGUUUCCAAUAUGCUCAGUGACUUAGAAGAGUCUUAAUCGUGCUUGUUUAAAAUUACCACCAAGGGGAAAAGUUCAUUGUGUCCCUUCUAGAACCCUCCUUGCUGUUUGUUCCAUGCAUCCCCUACCAUCCUGGACUAUACCUGCUUUCUUCCUGCUUCCACAAUGACAAGGGGAAUAAAAAAUAUAUCAUUGAGA